rnacentral:rRNA from 1 species
UACGAAGGGGGCGAGCGUUGCUCGGAAUCACUGGGCGUAAAGCGCACGUAGGCGGAUUGUUAAGUCGGGGGUGAAAUCCUGGAGCUCAACUCCAGAACUGCCUUCGAUACUGGCGAUCUUGAGUCCGGGAGAGGUGAGUGGAACUCCGAGUGUAGAGGUGAAAUUCGUAGAUAUUCGGAAGAACACCAGUGGCGAAGGCGGCUCACUGGCCCGGUACUGACGCUGAGGUGCGAAAGCGUGGGGAGCAAACAAG